AUAAAGCUAGACAACCGAACGUA
rnacentral:miRNA from 1 species